AACGAACGCUGGCGGCGGGCUUAACACAUGCAAGUCGAACGCUCCGCAAGGAGAGUGGCAGACGGGUGAGUAACGCGUGGGAAUCUACCUAGUUCUACGGAACAACAGAGGGAAACUUCUGCUAAUGCCGUAUACGCCCUAAGGGGGAAAGAUUUAUCGGAAUUAGAUGAGCCCGCGUAAGAUUAGCUAGUUGGUGAGGU
rnacentral:rRNA from 1 species